CAGCUAUAGAUAACUGGGAAAAGUGAACACUUCAUGGUUCUACUGACAUAUAGGCAGAAAGGAGUUAUUUUAGGACUUAAUAAGUUCUAUAAUAAUACUUAUAUUUUACAUUUACCUCUACUUAAGCCUUCAAAGGGUUUUAGCCUCCAGUUUUAGCCUCUGACCUUCUUUUAAGAUGCUAACAAAUGCUAAAACUAGCCUCUGAUUUGGGCUGCUAAAAUAAAGACUUUUGGCUAGCUGACCAGCAUAGACCAAUUUGCUGGUUAACAGAAAACAGUGAGGAAUAGCCAACAAAAAGAAAAACUUCACUGAGUGAAAAAGGGUGAAUUUACAAGCUGGUGAUGAUCCAGAGCAGAUGAAGAAAAACCCUGAUCACCUUCUCUCUACAAAAAUCUCUCUUGCUUCUGAGAGAUUUCAGCUCCACACCACUAAGCCAUAUGUCUGUUCUGUUAGGUGUUGAGCUGCAAAUC